AAUGAACGCUGGCGGCAGGCCUAACACAUGCAAGUCGAACGGAUCCUUCGGGAUUAGUGGCGGACGGGUGAGUAACGCGUGGGAACAUGCCCUUUGGUACGGAAUAGCCUCGGGAAACUGGGAGUAAUACCGUAUGUGGUCGAGAGACGAAAGAUUUAUCGCCAAAGGAUUGGCCCGCGUUGGAUUAGGUAGUUGGUGGGGUAAUGGCCUACCAAGCCGACGAUCCAUAGCUGGUUUGAGAGGAUGAUCAGCCACACUGGGACUGAGACACGGCCCAGACUCCUACGGGAGGCAGCAGUGGGGAAUCUUAGACAAUGGGAGAAACCCUGAUCUAGCCAUGCCGCGUGAUCGAUGAAGGCCUUAGGGUUGUAAAGAUCUUUCAGGUGGGAAGAUAAUGACUGUACCACCAGAAGAAGCCCCGGCUAACUCCGUGCCAGCCGCCGCCGUAAUAC
rnacentral:rRNA from 1 species